GGGGGGGGCAAGCGUUGUUCGGAAUUACUGGGCGUAAAGGGCGCGUAGGCGGCCUGCUAAGUCGGAUGUGAAAUCCCUCGGCUCAACCGAGGAACUGCAUCCGAUACUGGCGGGCUUGAAUCCGGGAGAGGGAUGUGGAAUUCCAGGUGUAGCGGUGAAAUGCGUAGAUAUCUGGAGGAACACCGGUGGCGAAGGCGGCAUCCUGGACCGGUAUUGACGCUGAGGCGCGAAAGCUAGGGGAGCAAACGGGAUUAGAUACCCCGGUAGUCCUAGCCCUAAACGAUGAGUGCUUGGUGUGGCGGGUAUCGAUCCCUGCCGUGCCGAAGCUAACGCAUUAAGCACUCCGCCUGGGGAGUACGGUCGCAAGGCUG
rnacentral:rRNA from 1 species